UUCUCUCUUCAAUAACAGAAGUCUUUGAGUUCAUGUCAUCUGCAAGUCGCUUAUGACCUUUUAUCUUCUUUACUGCAAUAGUUUCCCGAUGCUUUGCUUCAACAGGUGAAUUAUUUUCCCUCUUAACUUUAUGUGUGUCUUUUCCUCCAUCAGCAAGAGUCGAAAUUCCUUGCUCUGAUUGCUUCAAAUCUGCACAUGGUUCUAACAGUUUUGCAGCCUUGUCAUGUUCAACAUUCACAUGAAUUUUGCUCUCCAGAUGGGAUGAUUGAGAUGUCUCAUCAACAGUGCUUUGCAAUGUCAAC
rnacentral:lncRNA from 1 species